rnacentral:rRNA from 1 species
AGAGUUUGAUCCUGGCUCAGGACGAACGCUGGCGGCGUGCUUAACACAUGCAAGUCGAACGCGAAAGGGGGCAACCCCCGGUAGCGUGGCAGACGGGUGAGUAACACGUGGGUAACCUACCCCGAGGUGGGGGAUAACCCUCCGAAAGGAGGGCUAAUACCGCAUGACACCUGGAGGUCCGCGGACUUCCAGAUCAAAGCUAGCCUCUGCUUGCAAGCUAGCGCCACGGGAGGGGCCCGCGCCCCAUUAGCUAGUUGGUGAGGUAACGGCUCACCAAGGCGACGAUGGGUAGCCGGCCUGAGAGGGCGAUCGGCCACACUGGAACUGAGACACGGUCCAGACUCCUACGGGAGGCAGCAGUGAGGAAUAUUGCGCAAUGGGCGAAAGCCUGACGCAGCGACGCCGCGUGGAGGACGAAGGUCUUCGGAUCGUAAACUCCUGUCGAGCGGGACGAAGCCGGGACGGUGAACAGCCGUUUCGGUUGACGGUACCGCUAAAGGAAGCCCCGGCUAACUCCGUGCCAGCAGCCGCGGUAAUACGGAGGGGGCCAGCGUUGUUCGGAAUCAUUGGGCGUAAAGGGCGCGUAGGCGGCUUUGUAAGUCCGUUGUGAAAUCCCUCGGCUCAACCGAGGAACUGCGACGGAUACUGCUUGGCUUGAGUCCCGGAGAGGGUAGCGGAAUUCCCAGUGUAGCGGUGAAAUGCGUAGAUAUUGGGAGGAACAUCGGUGGCGAAGGCGGCUACCUGGACGGGUACUGACGCUGAUGCGCGAAAGCUAGGGGAGCAAACAGGAUUAGAUACCCUGGUAGUCCUAGCUGUAAACGAUGGGUACUAGGUGUUGGGGGUAUCGACCCCCCCAGUGCCGCAGCUAACGCAAUAAGUACCCCGCCUGGGGAGUACGGCCGCAAGGUUGAAACUCAAAUGAAUUGACGG